AGGAAAGAAACGUGCUUGUCUUAGCAACCGGCGCCGGAAGUCCCGCCUUCCAGCUUGCCAUUGGGCAGCGGUAAAAGGCGGAGGGCACGGAUAGGGUGCAAGUAUUGCCUGUUAUGCGAAGGGGGUCCUAAGUCACCUCCACAAUUUAGUUGGGACAUGGACUGAUAGGUGUCCACAAUCUGCCUGAAGAGAUUAGUGGAAUAAGUUUGAGAGGGAGAGAAGUUUCUCUCCGUUUCUUAAUUUAUCCGUUGGAAAACUAGAGGAGAGUUUCGUGCGAAGAUGUAAUUACGGCAUUACGUAGAUAGCACAAUGGAGAGGAGCUAGGCACAUCCUAGAAGAUGGAAGAAAAACAGUUACCCAGGAUCAUCAUAAAUGGGGCCAGAGAAGAGGCUGCCUAGGAGCACUAACACAUAAGGCUACAAGGGAUGCUCUGUAAGAUAACAAAGCAUGGACUGAGCAUGGACAAAGAAUGCUCCAUGGAUAAGGAGGGCAUGGGCAAGACAUUACCCAUGUUAGGUAACAAACGUUUGUCUCUGAUUGGUUAGAUUUGGAUAUAAGAUAUUGUGGCUAUACUCACUUAGGUGUGGCUUUUCUCCUUGCAUGUUUGUUGUCUUUAUGCAUAUGGAAUAAGUCUACCCAGCUCUUCUUUGUACAAAUAAAAGCUGUUUUUUCCCCAA